UGCCUGAGCCAGUCGCUUGCUCUAGGGAG
rnacentral:piRNA from 1 species